GCCCGAUUAGCUCAGCUGGAUAGAGCACCGGUUUCCUAAACUGGAGGUCGCGCGUUCAAAUCGCGCAUCGGGCG
rnacentral:tRNA from 2 species